rnacentral:misc_RNA from 1 species
AAGUCGUAACAAGGUUUCCGUAGGUGAACCUGCGGAAGGAUCAUUACCAAUUCGAAUUGGUGUGCGUUGUGUGUGUGUUCCACACACCACCAAACGCACGCCAAACUCUACCAACCUUUGAUUGUGAACCAUGAGAUUCAAACACAUAGUCUUCCCGUUUUUUGCUUUGCAAAAAGCGGGGAGCAAUUUUAUCCAACCCCAAUUAUAUUCUUCACACACCACCACGCGUGUGUGUGGGGGGAACAAAAGCAAGCGUUGAGCUCCGAAAGGAAAAAACAGAAUGUCAUGUACAACUUUUAACGGCGGAUCUCUUGGCUCGU